AUUGAACGCUGGCGGCAUGCUUUACACAUGCAAGUCGAACGGUAACAGGCCGCAAGGUGCUGACGAGUGGCGAACGGGCGAGUAAUGCAUCGGAACGUGCCAAGUCGUGGGGGAUAACGCAGCGAAAGCUGCGCUAAUACUGCAUACGAUCUAUGGAUGAAAGCGGGGGACCGUAAGGCCUCGCGCGAUUGGAGCGGCCGAUGUCAGAUUAGGUAGUUGGUGAGGUAAAGGCUAACCAAGCCGACGAUCUGUAGCUGGUCUGAGAGGACGACCCGCCACACUGGGGCUGAGACACGGCCCAGACUCCUACGGGAGGCAGGAGUGGGAAUUUUGGACAAUGGGGGCAACCCUGAUCCAGCAAUGCCGCGUGCAGGAAGAAGGCCUUCGGGUUGUAAACUGCUUUUGUACGGAACGAAACGGCUCUGGUUAAUACCUGGGGUUAAUGACGGUACCGUAAGAAUAAGCACCGGCUAACUACGUGCCAGCCGCCGCCGUAAAAC
rnacentral:rRNA from 1 species